rnacentral:rRNA from 1 species
UACGGGGGGGGGCAAGCGUUGUUCGGAAUUACUGGGCGUAAAGGGCUCGUAGGCGGCCAACUAAGUCAGACGUGAAAUCCCUCGGCUUAACCGGGGAACUGCGUCUGAUACUGGAUGGCUUGAGUUUGGGAGAGGGAUGCGGAAUUCCAGGUGUAGCGGUGAAAUGCGUAGAUAUCUGGAGGAACACCGGUGGCGAAGGCGGCGAUCCUGGACCAACACUGACGCUGAGUGAGCGAAAGCCAGGGGAGCAAAACGGG